CAGUCCUUCUCUGGAACCAGCUUCAACACUUUCCCAAUGGCGAUGGUCUUCCCUGCAGGGAAAAACAACCACACUUCUCAGCACAACGAUGCAAAGUACAGCGCUGUCCACAGAAGGACUACUGCAGCCACCUAAAGGCUACCGCAAGCCGGACGAGAAGCUCCACACCAGCAGAUGAUCUCUCUUUGGUGCUGGGCAGCAAAAAAGCACAGAGCACAGAUACAGCACAAUGGUUUGUGUACUUCGUCCACCACCGCAAGUACCACAAGCUGAAAACCAUGGAUAUCUGAACACCAGAAAUGAAUGACUGCCCAGUUCUCAUCCUCCAGGACUUCACAGCAGUAACUCUUACCUGGGCGUCAAAGGUGCGUCCGGAGUGGCAGAGGCUUUCAGCGGUGCAGAGGAUGAAGCCUGGCAGGAU